GCCGUACCGGAAGGUGCGGCUGGAUCACCUCCUUUCUAGGGAUUGAUUGUGCUUGCGGCGCCCCUGGUGUCCUGGUUUGUUUCNCCCCUUUUGUUCUUGUGGGGGUGGCUGGGGUGCUGGGUGCCGUGGGGAAGAUGAUGGUGUAAGGAACACGCCUGCCUGGGCUGGUUGGUCUGGGUGGGUGCCCCUGCGUGUGCGUGCUUGGUGUGCGUGUGUGUGGGGGUGGCAUGCUGUCGGGGUUCUGGGGCAGUGCGCCCUGGUUGCCUGGCCUGUAGGGUCUGCUGGUUUGUUGCUGGUGGGUCUUGUGGGUGUGGGUGGGUUGGUUGUGAACUGUAUAGUGGACGCGAGCAUCUUACUGUAAGUGUUUUCUGCGACAAGCGCGUGGAUGCGCAUGGUCUUGUGUGGGUCGUGUGUGUUUGUGUGUUGUUGUGGUUCUUGUUGUUUGUUUUUGUUGAGCGUUCGGUGGAUGCCUUGGCAUCAGGGGCCGAUGAAGGACGUGGUGGCCUGCGAUAUUCCUCGGGGAGCCGGCUGGCGGGCUGUGAUCCGAGGGUUUCCGAAUGGGGGGACCCGGCACGAGUUAUGUCGUGUCACCUGCAUCUGAAUUGUAUAGGGUGUGGGGGGUGACGCGGGGAAGUGAAACAUCUUAGUACCCGUAGGAGAAGAUAUUCCGUGAGUAGUGGCGAGCGAAAGCGGAUGAUGGUUAAACCGUGUGCGUGUGAUACUCGGCAGGGGUUGCGUGUGCGGGGUUGUGGGGCUGUUCUGUCGUCUUCUGCCGGAGGCGGGGCGCGUGUGCUGGCUGGUAGCUGAAACGUCUGGGAAGGCGUGGCGUAGUGGGUGAUACCCCCGUAGGUGUAACUGGUUGGUGCGUGUCUGGGAUGGUGCCCGAGUAGCACGGGGCUCGUGGAAUCCUGUGUGAAUCUGCCAAGACCACUUGGCUGCCUGAAUACCUCCUGAUGACCGAUAGUGGAUAGUACCGUGAGGGAAUGGUGAAAAGUACCCCGGGAGGGGAGUGAAAUAGAACCUGAAACCGUGUGC
rnacentral:misc_RNA from 1 species